AGUAAACGGCGGCCGUAACUAUAACGGUCCUAAGGUAGCGAAAUUCCUUGUCGGGCAAGUUCCGACCUGCACGAAUGGCAUAAUAAUGGCCACACUGUCUCCUCCCGAGACUCAGUGAAAUUGAAAUGUUUGUGAUGAUGCAAUCUCCCCGCGGCUAGACGGAAAGACCCCAUGAACCUUAACUGUAGCUUUGCAUUGGACUUUGAACCGAUCUGUGUAGGAUAGGCGGGAGGCUUUGAAGAAUGGACGCCAGUUCAUUCGGAGCCGUCGUUGAAAUACCGCCCUGAUUUGUUUGAGGUUCUAACCUGGGCCAGUGAUCCUGGCUGGGGACCGUGCAUGGUGGGCAGUUUGACUGGGGCGGUCUCCUCCUAAAGGGUAACGGAGGAGUGCGAAGGUACGCUAAUCACGGUCGGAAAUCGUGAGGAUACUGCAAUGGGAAAAGCGUGCCUGACUGCGAGACAGACAAGUCGAGCAGAUGCGAAAGCAGGUCAUAGUGAUCCGGUGGCUUCUGUAUGGAAGGGCCAUCGCUCAACGGAUAAAAGGUACUCUGGGGAUAACAGGCUGAUACCGCCCAAGAGUUCAUAUCGACGGCGGUGUUUGGCACCUCGAUGUCGGCUCAUCUCAUCCUGGGGCUGAAGUCGGUCCCAAGGGUAUGGCUGUUCGCCAUUUAAAGAGGUACGUGAGCUGGGUUUAAAACGUCGUGAGACAGUUUGGUCCCUAUCUACCGCGGGCGCUGGAAGAUUGACAGGGGCUGCUCCUAGUACGAGAGGACCGGAGUGGACGCACCUCUGGUGUAUCGGUUGUGACGCCAGUCGCAUUGCCGAGUAGCUAUGUGCGGAAGAGAUAACCGCUGAAAGCAUCUAAGCGGGAAACUUGCCUGAAGAUUAGUCUUCCCGGAGGCUUGACCUCCCUGAAGGGUCGUCCGAGACCAGGACGUUGAUAGGCCAGGUGUGGAAGCGCUGUGAGGCGUGAAGCUAACUGGUACUAAUUGCCCGUGCGGCUUGAUCCU
rnacentral:rRNA from 1 species